rnacentral:rRNA from 1 species
AUUGAACGCUGGCGGCAUGCCUUACACAUGCAAGUCGAACGGUAACAGGUCUUCGGAUGCUGACGAGUGGCGAACGGGUGAGUAAUACAUCGGAACGUGCCCGAUCGUGGGGGGAUAACGCAGCGAAAGCUGUGCUAAUACCGCAUACGAUCUACGGAUGAAAGCGGGGGAUCGCAAGACCUCGCGCGGACGGAGCGGCCGAUGGCAGAUUAGGUAGUUGGUGGGAUAAAAGCUUACCAAGCCGACGAUCUGUAGCUGGUCUGAGAGGACGACCAGCCACACUGGGACUGAGACACGGCCCAGACUCCUACGGGAGGCAGCAGUGGGGAAUAUUGGUCAAUGGGGGGCAACCCUGAACCAGCCAUGCCGCGUGCAGGAAGACGGCCCUACGGGUUGUAAACUGCUUUUAUACGGGAAUAAAUCUCGCUACGUGUAGUGAGUUGAAUGUACUGUAAGAAUAAGGAUCGGCUAACUCCGUGCCAGCAGCCGCGGUAAU